GGUUGAUCCUUCACCACAACUUAUCUCUCACCACGACAGACUUGAGGGGUUCUCUGCCAUCUGAUCCUUCACCGCAACGUGGACACUGAUCUCUCACCGCAACACAGAGGCUGAUCUCUCAUGAUCUCUCACCACGACACGAGCUUCCUGCCUUCAGAUCCUUCUCUACGGACCGUUUGCUGACGGACUUCCCUGGGCCUGCUACCUGAGACCUGCUGCUUCCUCCCUGACCUGCACCCUCUUGUUGCCCAAGACCGGCCUCGCUGCUCCUGCCCUUCGGCCUCGGACCGUCGGAACGUCGUGCAACGGGACUGCUGCUGGAUCCUGGUGGGUUUCUGUACAGAGGAUAACUUCACCCUCAAAACUGUUUGGAAAAUGAAGACACAGAAGAAUGCAGCAGAGUCCAGAGGAGUUGAGCAUGGGGUCAGACGGUUGGGAAUGGAAACUGAUGAAAGAACUGUGAAUGGAAGUAAUUGAGUGGACAAUCACCAAGAUUCCUGCAUAUCUUAUUUAAAUAUAUUGACGGUAUUGAGUUUGAAGCUGGAGUUACUCUCAUUACUUGAGUUCCUGCAUUCUAUCUAUACAGUUUGAUGUAUCUAUACUUUCACUUCUACUAUUCUCUACAGCUUUCUUAAUGUGUAUGUCAGUCCAUAGGUAUUUUUUGCCUUGCACAAAGGGCUAAAAUGCUUUGUAAUAUCACAUUGCUUAUCCAGUUUGAGUUUGGUCUAACUCUACUGAAGUCAGUGAUUUUACACAGGUAUGGCCUUUGCUCCUCAUCAAUGUCCAACCAUGAAAACUGCUUUAACCUAUAUUCCUCAUUUUGAUCAUCCUGAGAUGGAAAACUUUGCCCCACAAAGUUGCCCCACAACUUUGCUGAACAAGUAACAGCGACAUCACUGCUAAUAGCUGUUCUCAAUGAAUUUUUAAAAUGUCAGUCAGCUGAGUUCUUGAGCUGUAAGUUAUUCUUUCAGGACUUACUUUUUACAGAUAAUGCAUUCUGUAACUGCUUGUUAUGGACAAAUAAUGUGAGCUUCUGACUUCCCAAUGUUAUGUUCAAAAUGUCUUUUUGUUUGCUCAGAUGUAUUCGCAGAGGAAAGGAACUGCAAACUUAGAAAUAUCAAUUACAGGUUUUUACUUUGCACCACACUAGCAGUUUCUUAUUCUGUAGAAGCAGUUUCUCUAUAAUUACUAAGAUAGCCUUUUCCGAAAUGCAACUCAAAUAAUGGCAGGAAAAACUGCCAUAUUUACUGCAUGUUAGUGAUUCACACAUAAGCUCAAACUGCAAAGUAAAGAAAAGUUAUUCAACUUCCAAGACCAGAAAUUCUUUUCAGAAACUGGAAAUUCAUGUCAUUUUAAGCACACUGCCUACACUACUAGCAUUCUACCUGCAUCUUUAGCCACAUAUAUCCUCAUGACAUUUUGGAACUACUAUUUUUUGGGCAUGUAUUUCUAACUAUUCAAAGCUACAACUUCAUCUCUAGUAACAUAUUUGGGCUAGCUAGUCUAUAUCAAUAACACAAAAAGUUGCAAAGGUAUCUCAGCAUCUGGUCAGUGUGAUCUGAGCAUCAGGCUGUUGUGCAUACUUAUAUUUGGAGUACUUUGACACUAAUACAUAUAUACUACCCAAAAGCUGAAUCACACAUCUAGGUUGUUUUAGGGACAUCAUUUUAGAAUACUUCCUGGAUCUGUACACAGAACUAACUGAUAAAGGAUCUUUCUCAGAACCUUUCCUACAUGUUUUAGGGUAAUGUUAAGAACUCCCAAUAGAUAUGAUCCAAAGUAUAUUUAUAUAUAUAUAUGUUCUUGUUAUGUUUGUACUUCAUUUCAACACACACAGAAUUUAGGCUAUUUACUUUUGGGUCACUUAUCAUGAACUUAAGAGAAAGGUGGGGUCUCCUCUCCUUGAAGAGUAGAAAUAAUUUUAUUGUUCUUAUGGUCACAAGGUAUUUUCCAAAGAAGUUGGUAAAGAAUUAUAUUAUAUAAAAAUGGAUCUUCUUGUUUCUUGUGAUAUUUCUGGUUCUAAUUAUGAAACUACUUCAUAACAAACAAUAGCAAAGUUAUUAGAGAAGUUUGGACGAGCACUGAGAUAUCAGGGUUACUUUUAUUUUCUCAAUAAUAGCGAGGUUAACUUUAACACAAUUGUACUUAGUUUAUCAAGUUCUCAUGGAACCUCUGAUCUUCUAAGGAAUGGAAUACAAACCACAGCCUUUUUGCUGCUCAGUUUUCACUGAAAUGAAAUCAAUCAGAAGCUACAUUCUGAAAGAGAGGAGCAGUUUAUAUUGACCUCUAAGUUGCUUAAGAAAUCUCUGUGCACUAUCAAAGGUUGUCACAAAACUGACAUUGAUAAAGAGUUCAGUGCUAGUUCCAACAUGUACUAUCCCUUCAACUGCAUAUAUUUGUACAUAUUUUACAGUUAUAUAUAUAAUAUUGCAUAUAUUUUACAGUUUUGCCUGUAUUGCAACAUGCAAGUAUGGUGAAGUUUGUAAUGAAAAUAUAUGCUUUCUGGUAUACAGAAUAAAUUCCC
ensembl:lncRNA